rnacentral:rRNA from 1 species
CCAAAUAUCUAGCCUGCUCACUUCCACCUGCCUACAAAUCUAAUAAAGCAUUUUUACUUCCUAGUAGGGGAGACCGAAAAAUUUACAAGCGCAUCAGACAAAGUACCGAAAGGGAAUGUUGAAAUAACAGUGAAAUAAAUAAAGCUCCUUAAAGCAAAGUUUACCCCUUGUACCUUUUGCAUCAUGGUCAAGCCAGUCCAACUAGGCACAAAGUAAUUUUAGUCUAACCCCCCGAAACUGGGUGAGCUACUAUAAAACAGUUUUAUUGAACUAACCCGUCCCUGUUGCAAAAGGGUGGGAAGAUUUUUUAGUAGCAGUGAAAAGCUUAUCGGACCCAGAGAUAGCUGGUUAUCUAAGAAAAGAAUUUAAGUUCCACCCUAAGGUUCUUUAUUAAUCUAAACAAAAUAUUAACCUUAAGAGUUAUUCAAAUAGGGUACAGCCUAUUUGACCAAGGACACAACCUCAUAUACAGGGUAAUAUAUUAUAACCUCCCAAAGUAGGCCUGAAAGCAGCCAAAAACGCGUUAAAGCCUUCCAUCACACUCACCCCCACAAAUACCAAACACCCCCAUCAACCCGUAACCACUAUUAGAUGACUCCAUACUAUAUGGAAGACAUUAUGCUUGAACUAGUAAUAAGAAUAUGUAAUUCUCCUAAAUGUAAGUGUAAGCCAUUAUAGACCAACUACCGGCAAUUAACAUUAAUAAACCUACUACAGCAACCCCAAGAAAACCCUGUAAAAUUAAAUGUUAAUCUCACACAAGAACAUUUCAGGAAAGAUUAAAAGGAGAAGAAGGAACUCGGCAAUUAAUAACCCCGCCUGUUUACCAAAAACAUCGCCUCUUGCUUCAAUAUAAGAGGUCCAGCCUGCCCAGUGAUUUUUCAACGGCCACGGUAUCCUAACCGUGCUAAGGUAGCGCAAUUACUUGUCCUUUAAAUAGGGACCCGAAUGAAUGGCACCACGAGAGUUAUACUGUCUCCCUCUCCCAAUCAGUGAAACUGACCUCCCUGUGAAAAGGCAGGAAUAAAAAUACUAGACGAGAAGACCCCAUGGAGCUUUAGACUCCCAGCAAGUUAGACCAAUUCCUAAAAGUCCAAAACCUAUGCCUCCUAGUCUUUGGCUGGGGCGACCAUGGAGAAAAAACUAACCUCCACGCCGAACGGAAAAUCUCCUUAUCCGCGAACUACACCUCUAAGAAACAGAAUACUGACGAUCACUGAUCCGGAUCCCGAUCAACGAACCAAGUUACCCUGGGGAUAACAGCGCUAUCUGCCUUGAGAGUUCAUAUCGACAGGCGGGUUUACGACCUCGAUGUUGGAUCAGGGUGUCCUAGUGGUGCAGCCGCUAUAUAAGGUUCGUU